AAUUAAAUUGAAAUAAAAUACAGCAUGAAUACCAUACUAUACGCAAUGGAAAUGCAGUAGACCACUACCACUUAUGCAGGUCUGCCAACGUGAGAUUGUACACAGCACACUAUUGGCUGAUGAAAUGGAAGGUGACCAACCACAGCACUGUAUUGUGUGUCCAGGGUGCUGAUUGGCUCAGUGACUGUAGCUUCAGUCUGCUCUCAUACAUUGCCAAUACAUUCAGCAUCUCUCCUUGUCUACUUCACAUGGACAUUUUAUCGCUGUGCACAGUGUUGCUCUACGGUGUUGUUUUUCUGAAAGUUUUGUAAAAGUCUGAAUUUAUUUCUAACCCUAUGAUGCCACCCAAAUGUUCUGCGCCUUCUAAGGCUUGCGGUGGACCCCAGACCAAGAGGAAGAUGCUUACCAUUAGAGAAAAGGUGGAACUAAGCAAGGAGGCUGAGCCUAAGUAACUUCUUACACCUAUCCUUUGGCACCAGGGGUGGAGAACUCCCUCCACCCAGUGCUGAAAAGCCUAGAGGUGGGAGAGGCUAUUCAUUGAAUGCAAAGGCCUAGCUCAAGAGCUUCUUGAUAUGGUAAAGAAAGGUAAAAGCUAUGAGGCUGGAGGCUGCCAUUAUGGGAUCAACAGAUCUACUGUUUGCUACAUAAAGACAAGAAGAAUAUUAGGUCUACAGCAAUGAUGGCUUUUAACAAGACUGCAAAGGGAGAUGUCAACUCCUGCAGUAAGGCCAUUGUGAGGAUGGAGUCUGCAUUGGCCCUGUGGAUAAAGGACUGCAGGAAGAAGAAUAGCCUGCUGGAUACUACUGAUACCACCCAGACAAAGGCCAAGAAACCUUAUGAUAGUUCUGUGGAAAUCACAGAUGUUCAUGAUGAGCAAGGAUGAAGAUGAGGACAAAUGACACAGAAGCAGAACAGUUAAGUACUUCUCUUACCAGACCAACCCCAUUCAGCACCAGCAAGGGCUGAUUUGACAAAUUUCAAAGAUGCUUUGACGGCUCAAGUGUCAGACCACUGGAGGGCUCACAGGUACCAAGAAUAAACUACCUCCCUAUUGGGAAAUGCCACCUGCAUAGGCAGUUCCUAGAAGCACUAGCCUGAGACUAACUAAAACCACCCAUACUUGCAGAACAAGCUAUGUGCUAACUACCACCACUGACUAAAAGUCCCCACUGUCUAGCUGUUCCACUUUUUUAUCCUGCCUGUAUAACCCCUGCCUUAGCCAGGCCCAAGCACGACCUUUCUGAUCCCCACCAGAGGGUCCACCCUGGAGUGUACCCCAAUAAACUCUCUUCCAAUCACCUCUACUUCUCUCUGUGUGCUCUCACAUCAAGCAUUUCUGUGCAUAGAGAAGCCACCUCUGCAGAUAAAGCCAGAAUCGAGGAGUACCUGAACAACAUGUUUAAAUCCAUCAUCAAGGAAGGGGGUUAAAAGCCUGAACAAGACAGGCUUAUUUUGGAAACAGAUGCUCUCUCACACUUUGAUCAUGAAGGACAAAGCCAAAGCCCUUGGUUUUAAGGUCCAAAAAGAUGGAGUAACUGUGAUUAUGUGUGGAGAUACUAUGGGCUUUAGGAUAAAGCCAGAGUCUAUAAGUCAAGAAACUCAAGGGCCCUAAAAAAACAAAAGUAAGACUGUGUUGCCUGAGUACUGGAUCAGGAAACUCUUCAUGGAUGCUUGGUUCUACCAGUGCUUUACCCUGGAGGCUGAGCUUUAUUUGGCAGAGACAAACUGGU